rnacentral:lncRNA from 1 species
GUGUGUGGAGGGCUAGUGGAGGAGUGUAGAGGGCUAGUGGAGGUGUGUAGAGGGCUAGUGGAAGAGUGUGGAAGGCUAGUGGAGGAGUGUGUAGAGAGCUAGUGGAGGAGUGUGGAGGGCUAGUGGAGGAGUGUGGAGGGCUAGUGGAGGAGUGUGUAGAGGGCUAGUGGAGGACUGUGGAGAGGGCAAGUGGAGGAGUGUAGAGAGCUAGUGGAGGAGUGUGGAGGGCUAGUGGAGGAGGGUGGAGGGCUAGUGGAGGAGUGUAGAGGGCUAGUGGAGGAGGAAAGAGGGCUAGUUGAGGAGUGUAGAGGGCUAGUGGAGGAGUGUGGAGGGCUAGUGGAGGAGUGUGUAGAGGGCUAGUGGAGGAAUGUGGAGUGCUGGUGGAGGAGUGUUUAGAGGGCUAGUGGAGGACUGUAGAGGGCUAGUGGAGGAGAGUAGAGGGCCAGUGGAGGAUUGUUGAGGGCUAGUGCAAGAGUGUGGAGGGCUAGUGGAGGAGUGUGUAGAGGGCUAGUGGAGAAGUGUGUAUAGGGCUAGUGGAGGAGUGAGUAGAGGGCUAGUGUAGGAGUGUAGAGGGCUAGUGGAGGAGUGUGUAGAGGGCUUGUGGAGGAGUAAAGAGGGCUAGUGGAGGAGUGUGUAGAGGGCUAGUAGAGGAGUGUGUAGAUGGCUAGUGGAGCAGUGUGACGAGGGCUAGUGGAGGACUGUGGAGAGGGCAAGUGGAGGAGUGUAGAGAGCUAGUGGAGGAGUGUGGAGGGCUAGUGGAGGAGGGUGUAGGGCUAGUGGAGGAGUGUAGAGGGCUAGUGGAGGAGUGUGAAGGGCUAGUGGAGGAGUGUGUAGAGGGCUAGUGGAGGAGUGUGGAGGGCGAGUGGAGGAGAGUGUGGAGGGCUAGUGGAGGAGUGUGGAGGGCGAGUGGAGGAGUGUAUAGAGGGCUAGUGGAGGAGUGUAUAGGGCAAGUGGAGGAGUGUGUAGAGUGCUAGUGGAGGACUGUGGAGAGGGCAAGUGGAGGAGUGUAUAGUGCUAGUGGAGGAGUGUGGAGGGCUAGUAGAGGAGGGUGGAGGGCUAGAGGAGGAGUGUGUAGAGGGCUAGUGGAGGAAUGUGGAGGGAUAGUGGAGGAGUGUUUAGAGGGCUAGUGGAGGAGUGUAGAGGGCUAGUGGAGGAGAGUAGAGGGCCAGUGGAGGAGUGUUGAGGGCUAGUGCAGGAGUGUGCAGGGCUAGUGGAGGAGUGUGUAGAGGGCUAGUGGAGGAGUGUGUAUAGGGCUAGUGGAGGAGUGAGUAGAGGGCUAGUGUAGGAGUGUAGAGGGCUUGUGGAGGAGUAAAGAGGGCUAGUGGAGGAGUGUGUAGAGGGCUAGUGGAGGAGUGUGUAGAGGGCUAGUGGAGGACUGUGGAGAGGGCAAGUGGAGGACUGUAGAGAGCUAGUGGAGGAGUGUGGAGGGCUAGUGGAGGAGGGUGGAGGGCUAGUGGAGGAGUGUAGAGGGCUAGUGGAGGAGUGUGGAGGGCUAGUGGAGGAGUGUGUAGAGGGCUAGUGGAGGUGUGUGGAGGGCUAGUGGAGGAGUGUAGAGGGCUAGUGGAGGUGUGUAGAGGGCUAGUGGAAGAGUGUAGAGGGCUAGUGGAGGAGUGUGUAGAGAGCUAGUGGAGGAGUGUGGAGGGCUAGUGGAGGAGUGUGGAGGGCUAGUGGAGGAGUGUAUAGAGGGCUAGUGGAGGAGUGUAUAGGGCUAGUGGAGGAGUGUGUAGAGGGCUAGUGGAGGACUGUGGAGAGGGCAAGUGGAGGAGUGUAGAGAGCUAGUGGAUGAGUGUGGAGGGCUAGUGGAGGAGUGUAGAGGGCUAGUGGAGGAGUGUGGAGGGCUAGUGGAGGAGUGUGUAGAGGGCUAGCGGAGGUGUGUGGAGGGCAAGUGGGGGAGUGUGGAGGGCUAGUGGAGGAGUGUGUAGAGGGCUAGUGGAGGUGUGUGGAGGGCUAGUGGAGGAGUGUAGAGGCCUAGUGGAGGUGUGUAGAGGGCUAGUGGAGGAGUGUGGAGGGCUAGUGGAGGAGUGUGUAGAGAGCUAGUGGAGGAGUGUGGAGGGCUAGUGAAGGAGUGUAGAGGGCUAGUGGAGGAGUGUAGAGGGCUAGUGGAGGAGUGUGUAGAGGGCUAGUGGAGGUGUGUAGAGGGCUAGUGGAGGAGUGUGGAGGGCUAGUGGAGGAGUGUAGAGGGCUAGUGGAGGAAUGUGUAGAGGGCUAAUGGAGGAGUGUAGAGGGCUAGUGGAGGAGUGUGUAGAGGGCUAGUGGAGGAGUGUGUAGAGGGCUAGUGGAGGAGUGUGUAGAGGGCUAGUGGAAGAGUGUAGAGGGCUAGUGGAGGAGUGUGUAGAGGGCUAGUGGAGGAGUGUGGAGGGUUAGUGGAGGAGUGUGUAGAGGGCUAGUGGAGGAGUGUAGAGGGCUAGUGGAGGAGUGUAGAGGGCUAGUGGAGGAGUGUAGAGGGCUAGUGGAGGAGUGUGAAGAGGGCUAAUGGAGGAGUGUGGAGGGCUAGUGGAGGAGUGUGUAGAGGGCUGGUGGAGGAGUGUGUAGAGGGCUAGUGGAGGAGUGUGUAGAGGGCUAGUGUAGGAGUGUAGAGGGCUAGUGGAGGAUUGUAGAGGGCUAGUGGAGGAGUGUGUAGCGGGCUAGUGGAGGAGUGUGUAGAGAGCUAGUGGAGGAGUGUGUAGAGAGCUAGUGGAGGUGUGUAGAGGGCUAGUGGAGGAGUGUGUAGAGGGCUAGUGGAGGAGAGUGUAGAGGGCUAGUGGAGGAGUGUGGAGGGCUAGUGGAGGAGUGUAGAGGGCUAGUGGAGGAGUGUGGAGGGCUAGUGGAGGAGUGUAGAGGGCUAGUGGAGGAGUGUGUAGAGGGCUAGUGGAGGAGUGUAAAGGGCUAGUGGAGGUGUGUAGAGGGCUAGUGGAGGAGUGUAGAGGGCUAGUGGAGGUGUGUAUAGGGCUAGUGGAGGAGUGUAGAGGGCUAGUGGAGCAGUGUGGAGGGCUAGUGGAGGAGGGUGGAGGGCUAGUGGAGGAGUGUAGAGGGCUAGUGGAGGAGUGUGGAGGGCUAGUGGAGGAGUGUGUAGAGGGCUAGUGGAGGUGUGUGGAGGGCUAGUGGGGGAGUGUGGCGGGCUAGUGGAGGAGUGUAGAGGGCUAGUGGAGGAGUGUUUAGAUGGCUAGUGGAGGUGUGUGGAGGGCUAGUGGAGAAGUGUAGAGGGCUAGUGGAGGUGUGUAGAGGGCUAGUGGAGGAGUGUGGAGGGCUAGUGGAGGAGUGUGUAGAGAGCUAGUGGAGGAGUGUGGAGGGCUAGUGGAGGAGUGUGGAGGGCUAGUGGAGGAGUGUGUAGAGGGCUAGUGGAGGAGUGUAGAGGGCUAGUGGAGGAGUGUGUAGAGGGCUUGUGGAGGUGUGUGGAAUGCUAGUGGAGAAGUGUAGAGGGCUAGUGGAGGUGUGUAGAGGGCUAGUGGAGGAUUGUGGAGGGCUAGUGGAGAAGUGUAGAGGGCUAGUGGAGGACUGUGUAGAGGGCUAGUGGAGCACUGUGGAGAGGGC